rnacentral:rRNA from 1 species
CCUACGGGAGGCAGCAGUGGGGAAUCUUGCGCAAUGGGCGAAAGCCUGACGCAGCAACGCCGCGUGCGGGAAGAAGGCUUUCGGGCUGUAAACCGCUUUCAGCAGGAACGAAAAUGACGGUACCUGCAGAAGAAGGAGCGGCCAACUAUGUGCCAGCAGCCGCGGUGAUACAUAGGCUUCAAGCGUUGUCCGGAUUUAUUGGGCGUAAAGAGUUCGUAGGCGGUCGAGUAAGUCGGGUGUGAAAAUUCUGGGCUCAACCCAGGGACGCCACCCGAUACUGCUUAACUUGAGUUCGAUAGGGGAGUGGGGAAUUCCUAGUGUAGCGGUGAAAUGCGCAGAUAUUAGGAGGAACACCGGUGGCGAAGGCGCCACUCUGGAUCGAUACUGACGCUGAGGAACGAAAGCAUGGGUAGCAAACAGGAUUAGAUACCCUGGUAGUCCAUGCCGUAAACGGUGGGCACUAGGUGUGGGAUUCUAUUAACGAAUUCCGCGCCGUCGCUAACGCAUUAAGUGCCCCGCCUGGGGAGUACGGUCGCAAGCUAAAACUCAAAGGAUUGAACGGCUGNGAGUGCGAGCGACACGAGGAGAG